UCUCAGUUGCUCAGUCUGUAGAGUAUUGUGCUAGUAACGCAAAGAUCAUGGUUUCGAACCCCAUGGAAAG